GACGAACGCUGGCGGCGUGCCUAAUACAUGCAAGUCGAACGCUUUUUCUUUCACCGGAGCUUGCUCCACCGAAAGAAAAAGAGUGGCGAACGGGUGAGUAACACGUGGGUAACCUGCCCAUCAGAAGGGGAUAACACUUGGAAACAGGUGCUAAUACCGUAUAACACUAUUUUCCGCAUGGAAGAAAGUUGAAAGGCGCUUUUGCGUCACUGAUGGAUGGACCCGCGGUGCAUUAGCUAGUUGGUGAGGUAACGGCUCACCAAGGCAACGAUGCAUAGCCGACCUGAGAGGGUGAUCGGCCACACUGGGACUGAGACACGGCCCAGACUCCUACGGGAGGCAGCAGUAGGGAAUCUUCGGCAAUGGACGAGAGUCUGACCGAGCAACGCCGCGUGAGUGAAGAAGGUUUUCGGAUCGUAAAACUCUGUUGUUAGAGAAGAACAAGGAUGAGAGUAAGACGUUCAUCCCUUGACGGUAUCUAACCAGAAAGCCACGGCUAACUACGUGCCAGCCGCCGCAGUAA
rnacentral:rRNA from 1 species